ACAUUUACUCACAGAAAGAGCCGGUGGAAAUGAGCUAGGCCCCUUUUUAAUGUUUUCUGUGGCAUGCUGAAGCAAUAAUCAUAAGUCUCGCUAAUUGAAUAGCUAUAUGGGCCUGUGGUGUGUGGCUGUCUGUGGAUAUGUGUUUGUUGUGUGUGUGUUUGUGUGUCAUGCAAGUGUAGCGCUUCCUAUGUAUCAACUAGUCGGAGAUACAGCACCCUGGGUUCUUCUCUUAGAACUCACGUUAAUCUUAUUACUUUUAUUGCUCCCUUAAGUUUAUAUGUCCUGUAAUUUAACCUACCUCACCUUGCUUCCUCGUACACGAAAUGAAUUAAAUGACUCUAGUGUGAUGACAUGUUUUACCUUUAAACACUGUAAACGUUCGGUUUUUAAAUAUGCUUAUUUAUUAAACCGACCAAGAGGUGAAUAUGCAUUUUAAAGUAUUUAUUGACAAUUAUCAAUGUCUUUACU